rnacentral:tRNA from 1 species
ACAAUGGGGGUUCAGUGGUAGAAUUCCCACCUUUCAUGGGGGAGACCUGGGCUAGAUUCCUGGCCAGUGCA